UACGUAGGGUGCAAGCGUUAAUCGGAAUUACUGGGCGUAAAGCGUGCGCAGGCGGUUCGGAAAGAAAGGUGUGAAAUCCCAGGGCUUAACCUUGGAACGGCACUUUUAACUCCCGAGCUAGAGUAUGUCAGAGGGGGGUAGAAUUCCACGUGUAGCAGUGAAAUGCGUAGAGAUGUGGAGGAAUACCGAUGGCGAAGGCAGCCCCCUGGGAUAAUACUGACGCUCAUGCACGAAAGCGUGGGGAGCAAACAGG
rnacentral:rRNA from 1 species